ensembl:lncRNA
AUCUCACUGGAGUUCCAUACCUGCCUGAGGCCUUUCAAAGCCUAGCUUUUACAGAGAGCAUAAAGAACUAGAGUCCAAAAGCAGGCAUAUGCAGAGGGCCAUUUAAGAUACCCAUUUGGAAACCUGAUGAUCAAUUACGUCUUAAAUACCACCUCUUUCUGUGGACUUAAGGUAAGGGGAAAUGCUAACCUUCUUUCUGGCUUUCUUUUGACAAAAGUAAAUGCAAAAUUUCCUUCUUUUAAACAGAUGGCUAAAAAGUAGCUGUUUCCUCUUCUACUCUUAUUUAUCUCAGUAGCUAAACUACUCACUGAAGAGGCAAGGUACUUCAGUUCACAGCUUCUUCUACCCAGGGAAUUGAAAUUCAAAUUGAAAUCCUUAUCUGUCUUUCUAAAGAGUGCUUCAUCACCACUAUAUGUUGUAUGAUGUAUACAUCUGUAAGUAUGUAAGAGAGCAUUUUUCUAUCAUUUUAGGGAAAUAGUUUAUUUUGCAUGACAUACUAAUUAGGGAGCAGGUGUACCCCUUUACAUCCUAAGCUUGUGGUGGGGAUGCUAUCCUGGUGAGAGAGGAAAAACAUAGGUUCAGAUUCCCUAAAAUGUAUGAAUUAAUUCAAAUCAGACCUCCUGCACUCUGCUGUGUUCUGAAUUCAGGACAGAAGGAGUUAUUACUGAUUAUUGCUCUUGUAUUCUUCUAAUGCCACACUUGAAAGUUCUCAUGAAAUUAAAAAUGAGCCUUUUGUGCUAAAACAAUUUUUUUUUCUCUUUAGUACUAACAGACAAAAUAGAAUCUGGUCUUUGCAAGUAGCAUUCCCAUGUGGGCUCCAGGAAGAUAUUUGAUUGUCUUUAGGGCAAGAACUAAUUCAGAGAAAGGCUCUUUUAUUCACCACCUAUGAAUCCUGACCUUGACCUAGAAAGUCUAUCCUCAGUGUUGUAUGAGGGGCAAUUAAACUUCUGUUAAGCCAAACCUCCCUAUCACAGCAAAACAUGUCAAGUGUAUCAGAGCUCAAACCUCCAAUCUCAUUUUAUUCCCUUUAAAUGUGCCAGGGUGCCUCAAAUUAAUUUGAAUGAGCUGAGAACAACAGCAUUUAAUAGUUUUGAGAAACUGGAAGAUCCUUUAAUCUCUUUUGGGUUGUUUUUUGUUGUUUGGGUGGUUCUUUGUUGCAGGGAGAACAGGUUUCCACAGACACUUCCAAAAGCAGACAUGUGGCUCAGAUGUUUAACUGUAGUUCAUUCAACUCAGACCAGUGCAGCUGAGAGGUUACUCUGCACCUACUGAAUGUUGUAGCUGUUUGUUAGUAACAGCUCAUGUGUGUGUUUCUGAACAAAUGCAGUGAGGAGGAGGGGGCAGGCCAGAGUAUGUGCAUGCCCUGUGUCCUGAGGGGAAGGACUUCUUCAGCUUCUAUUGCCAAGUGGUUAAUACACUGACCACUCCUAACCUUUCAGAGGCUCCAAGAAGGUGGGAAGUGUAUUCAACUAGAGCACAUAUUGUUGAACAAAUGAUGGUCAGACAGUUCACUGAGUUCUUAUGGAAAGUGAAGACACUUUAAAAUUCAUGUCCUCCAAUUCGUGCUGAAGGAGCACAACAUGAUCUUUGAUAUUCUGUUUUCUGUCAGUAGCGUCUGACUACAAUAAAGGUUUGCAUGUCUCUAGAAGCUGCAGGUAACCAUUGCUUUUCUGAGGUCUAUACUUAAUUAUACUACAUUUAAAUUUAGUUCUUGCUUCUGCUAGCAGGUGGUAUUUAUACCACAAGAAUAUAAGGGAUUGAGAUGGAGCUUGGUUACUGUUUUACACAGGAGUAAAUCUCACUCACUGUAAAACCCCAAAUGUCAAUCUAUUUCCUUAAAGCUGCAUUUUCUUAUGUUCAGUGCAUCCAGAAGCACCUUCUAUCUUAAGUCCUUGAAAAUAUGGAAGUUUUACAGCAAGAUAGAUGCUGAAAAUGACAUGUAACAGCUUAUUUUCCUAGUAAAAGCAAUGCUUC